GACGUAGGGCGCGAGCGUUGUCCGGAUUUAUUGGGCGUAAGAGCUCGUAGGUGGUUUGUCGCGUUGUCCGUGAAAUUCCCUGGCUUAACUGGGGGCGUGCGGGCGAUACGGGCAGACUGGAGUACUGCAGGGGAGAAUGGAAUUCCCGUGUGAGCGGUGAAUGCGCAGAUAUUGGAGGAAGACCGAGCGAGGCGGUCAGCGGGUCCUUCCU
rnacentral:rRNA from 1 species